CUUUCUUUGCUGGCGACCGGCGCACGGGUGAGUAACACGUAUCCAACCUGCCCUUUACUCGGGGAUAGCCUUUCGAAAGAAAGAUUAAUACCCGAUAGCAUAAUGAUUCCGCAUGGUUUCAUUAUUAAAGGAUUCCGGUAAAGGAUGGGGAUGCGUUCCAUUAGGUUGUUGGUGAGGUAGCGGCCCACCAAGCCUUCGAUGGAUAGGGGUUCUGAGAGGAAGGUCCCCCACAUUGGAACUGAGACACGGUCCAA
rnacentral:rRNA from 1 species